rnacentral:lncRNA from 1 species
CUCCCGGUCUCGACCUCCGCUCCCUCUCCCUCUCCGCCCGGCCUCCGCCUCCUCUCCCUCUCCCUCUCCGCCCGGCCUCCGCUCCCUCUCCGCCCGGCCUCCGCUCCCUCUCCCUCUCCCUCUCCGCCCGGCCUCUGCUCCCUCUCCGCCCGGCCUCCUCCUCCUCCUCCUCCUGCUCCGGCCUCCUCCUCCUGCUGCUCCGGUCCUCCCUCCUCCUCCUCGAGUCGUUUUUGAGCUUUAGUUUUAUUUUGUGUUUGCUUUUAUUUUCCGGUUAAUUGCAAUGUUGUGGUGUUGUUAGGAAGUGUAUAUUUGUAUUUAGGAAGUGUAUAUUGUUAUUUAAUAAGUGUAUAUUUGUAUUUAGUAUUUAGGAAAUGUAUAUAUUUGUUUUGUAUUUUGAAGUGUAUAUUUUUAUUUAUGAAGUGUAUAUUUAGGAAGUGCAUAUUUUUAUUUAUGAAGUGUAUAUUUAGGAAGUGUAUAUUGUUAUUUAAUAAGUGUAUAUUUGUAUUUAGUAUUUAGGAAAUGUAUAUAUUUGUUUUCUAUUUUGAAGUGUAUAUUUUUAUUUAUGAAGUGUAUAUUUAGGAAGUGUAUAUUUGUAUUUAUGAAGUGUAUAUUUAGGAAGUGUAUAUUGUUAUUUAAUAAGUGUAUAUUUGUAUUUAGUAUUUAGGAAAUGUAUAUAUUUGUUUUCUAUUUUGAAGUGUAUAUUUUUAUUUAUGAAGUGUAUAUUUAGGAAGUGUAUAUGUGUAAAAUUUAGAAAGUGAAAAUUAGUAUUUAGGAAGUGUAUAUAUUUUUUACAUUUUUUAAAUGAGUUUGCAUUUUUUGAUUUUGUGGCCUUCAUUCAAAUUAAUAUUUUAAAUAGGAUGAGCAGUAAUAUUAGAUCGACGAAGGGUUCGAAGGGCCAAAGGUCCGUAUCGUCUGAGGGAACCUCUAGCAACCCUCAGACGUCGUUUCAGGGCCCCAUGACAGCUAGACAUGCGAGCCUUCUGCAGACGGCGCAGAGGCAGCCGGAGGUGCCCCUUUCAUCGAGGCAGCGGGGCUUCCCUCAUUCCUCGAGGCAGUUGUUUGCUCAGCCUCAGACGGAGGUGUCUGCACCCCGUAUGCCUGAGAU